rnacentral:rRNA from 1 species
GGCGAACGUUUGCGGCGGGCUUAACACAUGCAAGUCGAACGGGCUGUUCCUUCGGGGGCAGUCAGUGGCGCACGGGUGCGUAACACGUAGGUAAUCAACCCUCUGGUUGGGGAUAACACUUCGAAAGGAGUGCUAAUACCCGGUAUGGCGCAGCGGUCUUCGGAUCGCGGCGAGAAAGACCCGCAAGGGUUGCCAGAGGACGAGCCUGCGGCCCAUCAGCUAGUUGGCGAGGUAACGGCUCACCAAGGCGAAGACGGGUAGCUGGUCUGAGAGGAUGAUCAGCCACACUGGAACUGAGACACGGUCCAGACUCCUACGGGAGGCAGCAGUGGGGAAUAUUGCGCAAUGGGCGAAAGCCUGACGCAGCCACGCCGCGUGAGCGAUGAAGGCCUC